GGUCAUUUAGAGGAAGUAAAAGUCGUAACAAGGUCUCCGUUGGUGAACCAGCGGAGGGAUCAUUACCGAGUUUACAACUCCCAAACCCCUGUGAACAUACCAAUUGUUGCCUCGGCGGAUCAGCCCGCUCCCGGUAAAACGGGACGGCCCGCCAGAGGACCCCUAAACUCUGUUUCUAUAUGUAACUUCUGAGUAAAACCAUAAAUAAAUCAAAACUUUCAACAACGGAUCUCUUGGUUCUGGCAUCGAUGAAGAACGCAGCAAAAUGCGAUAAGUAAUGUGAAUUGCAGAAUUCAGUGAAUCAUCGAAUCUUUGAACGCACAUUGCGCCCGCCAGUAUUCUGGCGGGCAUGCCUGUUCGAGCGUCAUUUCAACCCUCAAGCCCAGCUUGGUGUUGGGACUCGCGAGUCAAAUCGCGUUCCCCAAAUUGAUUGGCGGUCACGUCGAGCUUCCAUAGCGUAGUAGUAAAACCCUCGUUACUGGNAAUCGUCGCGGCCACGCCGUUAAACCCCAACUUCUGAAUGUUGACCUCGNA
rnacentral:rRNA from 1 species